GUGGGGAAUAUUGGACAAUGGGCGAAAGCCUGAUCCAGCCAUGCCGCGUGUGUGAAGAAGGUCUUCGGAUUGUAAAGCACUUUAAGUUGGGAGGAAGGGCAUUAACCUAAUACGUUAGUGUUUUGACGUUACCGACAGAAUAAGCACCGGCUAACUUCGUGCCAGCAGCCGCGGCAAUACGAAGGGUGCAAGCGUUAAUCGGAAUUACUGGGCGUAAAGCGCGCGUAGGUGGUUCGUUAAGUUGGAUGUGAAAGCCCCGGGCUCAACCUGGGAACUGCAUCCAAAACUGGCGAGCUAGAGUACGGUAGAGGGUGGUGGAAUUUCCUGUGUAGCGGUGAAAUGCGUAGAUAUAGGAAGGAACACCAGUGGCGAAGGCGACCACCUGGACUGAUACUGACACUGAGGUGCGAAAGCGUGGGGAGCAAACAGGAUUAGAUACCCCUGUAGUCC
rnacentral:rRNA from 1 species